rnacentral:rRNA from 1 species
AACGUAGGACGCAAGCGUUAUCCGGAGUUACUGGGCGUAAAGCGCGGGCAGGCGGCUCUGUAAGUCUGAUGUGAAAGCGCCCGGCUCAACCGGGCGAGGCCAUUGGAAACUUCAGAGCUGGAGGGCAGUAGAGGCAGGCGGAAUCCGGGUGGAGUGGUGAAAUGCGUAGAGAUCCGGAGGAACACCAGAGGCGAAGGCGGCCUGCUGGGCUG